GGUAAUUACGGGCCGGCGGCGGCGGGAAGACGUAGGUGGCGAUGGUUAUCCGGAAUCACUGGGCGUAAAGCGUGCGUUGGCGGUUUGUUAAGUGUGGUGGUAAAUCGUGUGGCUCAACCAUAUCGAGGCAUCGCAUACUGGCAGACUAGAGGACGGCAGAGGCAAGUGGAAUUGGUAGUGUAGCAGUGAAAUGCGUAGAUAUUACCAGGAACACCAAUGGCGAAGGCAGCUUGCUGGGCCACUCCUGACACUGAGGUACGAAAGCGUGGGGAGCGAACAGGAUUAGAUACCCUGGUAGUC
rnacentral:rRNA from 1 species